rnacentral:rRNA from 1 species
UACGUAGGUGGCAAGCGUUGCCCGGAUUUACUGGGCGUAAAGAGCGCGCAGGCGGUCGUUCAAGUCGCGUGUGAAAGCCCCCGGCUCAACUGGGGAGGGUCACGCGAUACUGAUCGACUCGAAGGCAGGAGAGGGUAGUGGAAUUCCCGGUGUAGUGGUGAAAUGCGUAGAUAUCGGGAGGAACACCAGUGGCGAAGGCGACUACCUGGCCUGUUCUUGACGCUGAGGCGCGAAAGCUAGGGGAGCAAACGGG